rnacentral:rRNA from 1 species
GACGAACGCUGGCGGCGUGCUUAACACAUGCAAGUCGAACGGAAAGGCCCUGCUUUUGUGGGGUGCUCGAGUGGCGAACGGGUGAGUAACACGUGAGUAACCUGCCCUUGAUUUUGGGAUAACUUCAGGAAACUGGGGCUAAUACCGGAUAGGAGCUCCUGCUGCAUGGUGGGGGUUGGAAAGUUUCGGCGGUUGGGGAUGGACUCGCGGCUUAUCAGCUUGUUGGUGGGGUAGUGGCUUACCAAGGCUUUGACGGGUAGCCGGCCUGGGAGGGUGACCGGCCACAUUGGGACUGAGAUACGGCCCAGACUCCAACGGGAGGCAGCAGUGGGGAAUAUUGCACAAUGGGCGGAAGCCUGAUGCAGCAACGCCGCGUGCGGGAUGACGGCCUUCGGGUUGUAAACCGCUUUCGCCUGUGACGAAGCGUGAGUGACGGUAAUGGGUAAAGAAGCACCGGCUAACUACGUG